GGCUGACCAAAGACGGAGGAGCGGAGGUAGGUGCCUCGUCUUCCGAAACCCUGCACAACUAAAUGUCUCCUUCCCGAAAAAUCAUCUGGUGUCCCCCCUCUACCCUUUCUAGAGGCUUGGAAGUCCAAGAUCCAGGUGUCAGCAGGUGUCUGAACGACGUGUCCAAGUUGAGAGCUCUCUAAGGUGGAGUGUGCAUCGCUAAGAAGCAGCUUCUACACAGCGGUCAAGGCUGAAGCCGGUCAUUGGUACCUAAGCAGAUAAUGAGAAAACUGACUCUGUACAGGUAGGAGGUUUUCCAUUGGCAUGCUGAGGAAUGAUGCCAGUUUACCAAGAGAGCAGCAGAUCAAUAGUUAUGUGCCGAGAAACUGCUUUCCAGUAGUGAUGUGGAGUAUGAAAGACAUGGAGAAAUCAAUUUCUCUUUCCGGUCCCAGGAGACUCAGUGCCUUCUGCAUGGCUCGUGGCAGUAGUAGUCUCAACUUUUUACCUGCGUUCUCUAAACUCUAAACACUGGGAGUAAAUAGAAGCAUAUUCAGAAUGUUCGAAAUGGCUCUAUUUGUCAUCAUCACCCCUGUUACUAGUAAGUUAUUAGGCUCCUAUAUGUGGAGUUGCUGACAUAAAGCAUUGAAUGAAGCAAGUUACAUAAAAUAUGAGUCCUCUGGAAGUUCAUUACUUAAACUUGUACAUCAAAACAAAUACAAAAUUUGUGUAAGAUUUUUGAAAAAGGGAAGAAAGUAAAGACACUAUAUUAAGAGGCAAGAGUUCUAGUAUCUAGUUCUGUUUCCCACCUAUUUUACCGAGAUCUUCAUCAGGGCAUUUAAUAAUUUAUUAUUUUUAGUAUUUUCUAUGUGAUAUGUAACGUGGUAUCUUCAGAUUUGAAGUCGAGUUAUUGACAGUGUUUCAUAAAUGUCACUUGAGAUUUUGUCUUUCUAGUCACCUGACAGGAUCUAUGAAAGUUGAUAUUUUGAACCAUGUCAUUUUGGGCCACACAUAAUAAUUCCUUUUGCUGAUGUUGAAUCCAAACAUAUGAGCACAUCACCUCAUAGCGAUUUGCUUUAUCCCGAUAUAAAAAUCUUAUUACCUUGGAGUUCCCAUCCUGGCACAGGGGAAAUGAAUCCGACUAGGAACCAUGAGGUGGCGGGUUCAAUC